rnacentral:snRNA from 1 species
CAGUGUUACAGCUCUUUUAGAAUUUGUCUUGCAGGUUUUCAGGGUUUUUUCUGGAACACCCCC